rnacentral:misc_RNA from 1 species
AGAAGGCAAUGUACGAUCACGAGUUGCAGGUGAGUCAGCUCGGGCAACUUGGCCAACUCGGUCAACUCGGGCAACUUGUCAUUCCUGGUCAAGAGUUUCCACAGGGGCAAUCCUCACAAGGAAAUGUGAGGAGAAGCCCUAAAAUCAGCAGGGAUGGAAGAGUAGUAGUGGACGAGGAUGGCAUGGCUCAGCCAGAGUCAACUCGCUUAGAAACUCAGCCGAGAAUGACUGAACCAAUUCGGCCGAUACCUCAGCAUAAAAUCACUGAGCUGAAUCGUCCUGUGCCUCAGGCUGCGCCUCAAGCAAAAGCAACCGAGCCUAUUCGUCCUUCACCGCAGCCUGUAGCAGCUGAACCGAUUAGACCUGCAGCCCAGCCAAAAGCAGCGGAGCCGAGUCGUCCGGUACCCCAGCCGAAAGUAUCCGAGCCGAGUCGACCAGCUGCCCAGCCUAUUAGUGUUGAGUCAUCACGUGCAAUUCGGUCGACGACCCAGACAAGUGUGACUGAGUCAGAGGUACCAAGUUUCUGGACCGCAUGUCCUUACUGUUACAUUCUCUAUGAGUAUCCAAAGGGUUAUGAAGACUGUGCAAUUAGGUGUCAGAAAUGUAAACGAGCGUUUCAUGCGGUAAUGAUACCAUCACCGCCGGUGACAGGUAAAGACACGUACUUUUGUUGUUGGGGUUAUUUCCCGUUGGGUUUUUCCGGUCAUGGUAAAGGUGGAGGUGGUUUUGGUACUAAUUGGUCACCGGUAUCGGCAAUGUUUACUACCCCUUUGCCUGGCGGUGGAAAAUCAAGACAGGGCAAUCCAUCAAAUAGAUCUGAGCCGAAAGUGAUUUACAAAGA